rnacentral:tRNA from 1 species
GCUAGGGUAGCUCAGUUGGUAGAGCACGAGACUCUUAAUCUCAGGGUUGUGGGUUUGAGUCCCACAUUGGGCA